UACGUAGGGGGCAAGCGUUGUCCGGAAUCAUUGGGCGUAAAGAGCGUGUAGGCGGCUCGGUAAGUCCGCUGUGAAAGUCCAGGGCUCAACCCUGGAAUGCCGGUGGAAACUGUCGAGCUAGAGUCCGGAAGAGGCGAGUGGAAUUCCUGGUGUAGCGGUGAAAUGCGCAGAUAUCAGGAGGAACACCAAUGGCGAAGGCAGCUCGCUGGGACGGUACUGGCGCUGAGACGCGAAAGCGUGGGGAGCAAACAGG
rnacentral:rRNA from 1 species